AAACCCCAGCCACUGAUGCAACCGGCUGCGUUCGAUGCCGGUGCCCGAUCCGAUGCCGGCAUCCGGAAAGCGAUCGGCGACAUACUGAAGGAUCGCGGCGUUCUCGGUGAGAACGAGGCCGUCGUCGGUGCUGAUGGUCGGCACCAGGCCGAGCGGGUUCACCGCGAAGAAAUCCGAAUUAUCCUGAAGGACCUUCUUGGAUUUCGGAUCGACUUCCAGAUAGCGGGCGUCGGCGCCGGCUUCGUAGAGCGCAAUGCGGG
rnacentral:misc_RNA from 1 species